UACGUAGGGUGCAAGCGUUAAUCGGAAUUACUGGGCGUAAAGAGCUCGUAGGCGGUUUGUCGCGUCUGCCGUGAAAGUCCGGGGCUCAACUCCGGGUCUGCAGUCGAUACGGGCGGACUGGAGUUCGGCAGGGGAGACUGGAAUUCCUGGUGUAGCGGUGAAAUGCGCAGAUAUCAGGAGGAACACCGGUGGCGAAGGCGGGUCUCUGGGCAGUAACUGACGCUGAGGAGCGAAAGCGUGGGGAGCGAACAGG
rnacentral:rRNA from 1 species